AUGGGACAGGGAAUAUGCAAUGGAGCUAGAAAAAACCUAAGGUAUGGUAAGUCUAUGUGUAUGGUGUGUGUAUGGAGUGUAUAUAGUGUGUGUAUGGUGUGUGUAUGGGGUGUCUGUAUAAUGUGUGUAUGUUGUGUGUGUGCUGUCCCCGCGUUGUCCCCGCGCUGUCCCCAUGGUGUCCCUGUGCUGUCCCUGUGCUGUCCCCGCGGCAGUGGCCGGGCCCCCUCUGGUGGCUCCCAGGCGCACACCCGGGGUCCCGCCGCACCCACAUUCCCCAUCAGGGGCAUCUCACGCUCCCCAUCGCUCCAUAAGCGAAUUCCCACCGGCUUCUCCCUGCUUCCCUCCACCCUCUCUGCUUUUCUCCCCCAUAUCUCUAUUUUGUUUUACCAGAGUCGUUCCUCCUGGCGGCAUCCCGCCUGCCGCAGCUCCUGCGGGAGCAGCACCUCCUCGCUGCGGAGGCUUUUCCCACUCCGUCUCUUGUCAGCCCCUCUGUGUCCCCUUCGCCCGCGGCCUGUGCCACCGGAGCCUCAGAACAGGAGCCACAGGGCUGCUCUUGGGGCACCUGCAGGGUACAAAGGGUGCCACCAUGUGUGCCCCGUGAGCGGGGGCGAUUUCGCUGGCACUGUGCUCUCCAGUGGGACCAUCACCCCCCCAGCACCGUGUCCAGCCCCACACUCCAUGGGGAAGUUCUUCCAGAUCUUUCCAGCUUCUCAUUUCUGGAUGUAAUCGCUGUCGGUUGGAUUUCACUGUCCUUCGGCUCAGGCUCCCCUGCCAGCUCCGUACCACAGCGGACCGAGAUAUUUAUAGCCGGCAAUGCAAUCUCUUGGUCUCGGGUUGUGCCGAGCCGGGGAGCCGAGCUCCGUGACCCCGCGAGCAUCUCCACUGGUGGCGACACCUGCAGUGUGAAGGGCAGGGACAGCGAGAGAGACCGUGAUUCCUGGUAACCCCAGAGGUGGAAGCACCCAUGCCCGCGGUGCUGCUCUGCUCUGGUGGCCUGCCCCAAAAUCCCAGAGAGGACAGAGACACCCUGCCCGCCGCUCAGCGCAGCAUCCCGCAGCAUCGCUCAGCAUCUGAACCACACAGGACCUUGAAGGGCCAGUGGCACCGGCAAGACCUCCGGGGCCGCCGUGCACCCAGGGCGCUCCCCCGUGCUCCGCACAAACAAGCAUCCCGCCUCACACAGCUCUGAGCCGUGGGGAAGGGGCUGGCACCACCCCCAACACCCCCUCCAGUCUCUAUCGCCCCCCACCCCCGCCCGACGGGAGCAGGCAGCAGGCUGGGAAUGCCAGGAAUGCACCGCAGGCAUGCUGCCUCCGCCGAGCCCCCCUUGCCCCACCGAGGCGCCCUGCAAACUAACACUCGGCACCUCUGUGUCCCCCUUGGCUGGGCGGCCCCCCCAUGGCAGCCCAUGACAUCCCCUUAGCCCCUUCCCAAAUCCCCGGGAGGACCGGCAACCCCGCUCUGCCCGCGCUGUCCCAGCCCCAGGGCGCCACGGGAGCUUGUGCAAUGCUCAUUGCACCCCGAGCGCUCCCCUGUGCUCCGCUCGUAUACAUCCACCCUCCUACCCACCACCCCACAGGACCGUGUCCCGUGGCAGAGGGACUGAAGCCCCAAAAUCUGCAGUGACAGCUGUGGUGACAUGCCCGUGUCAUCCAGUCCCCUGCCAUCCCCUGCCCUCAGCACCCCUGCCCCAUCAGGUCCCUGUGGGACGGGUUCCAGGGCACCC
rnacentral:lncRNA from 1 species